ensembl:miRNA
ACCCCCAUCCCACCCCUGACCGGAGCCCUGUGCCCUCAGCUCCCAGGUGUGUCCUCGGCCGAGCCGUGGAUGGAGAGGGCGGGGUAUCCUGGGAGCCUGGGUGAGUGGCUCCUGCCCGGCCCAGGCCCUGGAGAG